rnacentral:misc_RNA from 1 species
GCAUUAAAAUUAUGCUCUUUCUGGACGUAAAUGACUUACGCCCCUCCUGGAACGGCGUAAAAAGGCAUUAAAAUUUUGCAUCAAAGUCCUAUACCUUUCACGCACCCUCGCCAAGGAAAUUAAACGAUUUACGCCCUUAAAAGCGUAAAAGAAUGUUAAUGCCCUGAAGGGUGUAGUUUUCAUGCCUUUGUUUUACGAGUGAACUGUGAAAAUUUGUUGUCACUUUAUGACAAAAUAGUGGAUAAUAUUUUCAUCACUCUCAAAAGAUGACAAUCUCCACAAAUUAACGACAUUUUUAUCAAAGCUUCUAUACUUAUUGCAUUGGUGUGACAGCAAUGUAAUCCAUUGUUUUGAUGACAUCCUUGUCGGGAAUAUUAGCCUUGAAAUUGUCAAGCGACGACUCAAGUUUUCAGUGUGUAGCGCACCCCUCAAACGUAAUGUGUGUUUAUGCCUAUUUCAUGAAAGUGCAAUGUGAACUCAUCUUCUGUCCCGUAGCGUUCCCCACUCCCUCCAUCUCGUGAUCCAUGAUAAUUGCAACGGACUCACGAUCGGCUAGAUGGAUUGCUGGCUAUUUCUGACUCCCGUUUUUGUUGUUUUUCUGCUCACUGGCUACGCCGGAGCACCCAUUGUGUCGGAGAUGCACGGCAUAUUCGCCAGAAUCUGUUUGAAGUCGGACUCGUGCGCAUCUACGUUGAAGAUCCCGCGCAUGCUGUGCUCAACUAGGACGCGCCAUGUGUGCAGCAAAACAAAGAGAGCUGUUGUCAUUGAAGGGAGCCACAAGAUGGGGUGCAUGAUUGUCGUUCUCGCAACGCUAAUCUCAAUAAGAGAGGUGCUGAGUCUUCCGCGAGUGCGGCUCGUUCCAAAGAUCCACGGUAUUUGGCCAUGUCCAGCACACUUGAAUCACUUCACAGAGAUUUACAACUAUUCCAUUGGGUUGGAUGAAAACGGAAUGGAGCGUCUUAAUGUCGACGGAAAGAUUCACAGGAAGAUCAUUACUGUCACUAAGCACGAUCAUGACUUGGUUUUUACUGCUACUUAUGAUGCAAGUUCGCGAUAACGAUGCACCGAUGUCGAGGUGGCGUGUCUGCAGGGAAUUGCGAAUAUUUCUCAAACUGGAACUGGGAGAGGGGCUGCUGCGCUAUUAUCGCCACAAGGGGUGUGCCGUGGACACCUAUCGUCGACUCCAUCAGCCCCACGUUCCAGUGUCCCAUGGACCAGUAUGAGUACUCACUAAGGAACACUACUUUCAACUUCGAUCAGAUAAGCGCUGUUCUGCAAACUAUUUCCGUGGAAAAUUGGAUUUGGGAUUUUAAAUUCCAAAUAUGGAACGAAAAGCGUGAAUUGGUUGUCUGCGCCAAUGUCGUUGGAGACUUGCGUCGUGUUAAAGUGAAGACCUGAAAUAAAUGAUAACAAGGUAUAUUUAAGAAGGACUGCGUUUUUCCUUACAGGCCUCAAACUUCUUACCUCAAUGGAAUCUAGGUGAAAAGAGCAAUUAUAAUUGAUCCAGGAAGCGGAAGAAGGGGAUAACUCAAUUUUGGCCAUUUUUCAGGAGA